rnacentral:rRNA from 1 species
AUUGAACGCUGGCGGAAUGCUUUACACAUGCAAGUCGAACGGCAGCACGAGGGCAACCUUGGUGGCGAGUGGCGAACGGGUGAGUAAUACAUCGGAACGUGCCCAGUCGUGGGGGAUAACGUAGCGAAAGCUACGCUAAUACCGCAUACGAUCUAUGGAUGAAAGCGGGGGGACCGUAAGGCCUCGCGCGAUUGGAGCGGCCGAUGGCAGAUUAGGUAGUUGGUGGGGUAAAGGCUCACCAAGCCUGCGAUCUGUAGCUGGUCUGAGAGGACGACCAGCCACACUGGAACUGAGACACGGUCCAGACUCCUACGGGAGGCAGCAGUGGGGAAUUUUGGACAAUGGGCGCAAGCCUGAUCCAGCCAUUCCGCGUGCAGGAUGAAGGCGCUCAGCGUUGUAACUUCUUUUGGAUGGGAACAUAACUCCGACUUGUCGGAACUUGAGGGUACCAUCAGAAUAAGCACCGGCUAACUCCGUGCCAGCAC